AACGAACGCUGGCGGCAGGCUUAACACAUGCAAGUCGAACGCACCGCAAGGGGAGUGGCAGACGGGUGAGUAACGCGUGGGAACAUACCCUUUUCUACGGAAUAGCUCUGGGAAACUGGAAUUAAUACCGUAUACGCCCUACGGGGGAAAGAUUUAUCGGGGAAGGAUUGGCCCGCGUUGGAUUAGCUAGUUGGUGGGGUAAAGGCCUACCAAGGCGACGAUCCAUAGCUGGUCUGAGUGGAUGAUCAGCCACAUUGGGACUGAGACACGGCCCAAACUCCGACGGGAGGCAGCAGUGGGGAAUAUUGGACAAGGGGCGCAAGCCUGAUCCAGCCAUGCCGCGUGAGUGAUGAAGGCCUUAGGGUUGUAAAGCUCUUUCACCGAUGAAGAUAAUGACGGUAGUCGGAGAAGAAGCCCCGGCUAACUUCGUG
rnacentral:rRNA from 1 species